rnacentral:ncRNA from 2 species
ACACUCACCGCCGCUUGAGGUGACCCGCGGACGUUCGUCCAAGGGUUGAAACGGGAAGCCGGUGACCGAUCCAUCGCGAUCGCAUUCCGGCGCUGCCCCCGCAACGGUAAGCCUGCAAGGCCGACGCAUCCGCCACUGUGCAUCGCACGGGAAGGCGCGAAGGCCCGGAUCGUUCCUUCGAUCCAGCAAGCGAGCCCGGAGACCGGCCUGAAGCCCACUGGUUGC